AAAAAUCUGGAGCAGUGCAGAAGACAUCCAAGAAGGAAAGAGGAUAAAGUCACUGAGAUGCUUAUGGAGGCCUAGGCCUAGGCUACUAGAUAACAUACUCCUGCCUAACAAUUUUGAAGUCAGUGAACAUCAUCAUGCAGCAGGGUAGCCUACCUCUACACUGGAACCUCUCAGCCUCACCAUCCUCUCCGCCAGAUAACUAGCAUGCAGACGGGCAUCCAAGCUGUUGACAUGACAGGAUGCCUUCAUUAUUGCUAAAGAAGGUGUUCUGUUCCUCUUUAUGGAGACGAUCUCUGGUGCUGAUAUUGAGUUGAGGGUCCGACCAGGAGACAACGUCACUCUACACUGUGAAUUGAAAGAGAACAAUGUGUUUGCAGUCGAAUGGCGUAGAAAUGCAUCUGAAGUGAAUCAGACGUCCAUCAUUUUGGAAGGUCGCUGGACCCCCCGUUACUCUGUUGAGGUCACCGACUCCAAAAACGUUUUCCUGAAGAUCCAGAACGUCACUGAGGGGGACCUGGGUCUUUAUUCCUGCCGACAAGUUCACACUGGUCAACAGGGGAAAACCAUUUAUCUGUUGUUACAGAAGCCCCCCAGUCCUCCUCCAUCUUGUCCUCCUCUUCCUGACUGUGGUGACUGUUGGAUGCUGCUGGCCAUUCUGUGUCCUGUGUGUUCACUCCUUUCCAUCUCCAUAGCCCUCUUCUCUGUCUUCUGCUACAAUCUCCACAAAGGAGACGGCACAGAAGUAUACGCAAAUGUGGCCCUCCGCAAUCCAGUCCUCUCUUUCUUUGGUGGAACAAAUUAAACACAAUCAACGUUGAAGUUAUAGCAUGGUCGUGCAUACAGAGUACCAUACUAUGUGAAUGUGCUAUCAAUUUUCUUUCACACUUCCCACAAACUUGUCAAAACUAUAAUCAAUUUUCUUGGACAUUCACAAUUCCUCUUGUAUGUUUAUUUUGUUAUAUGUUUCUUCCUGGCACAGUUCUCUCUUUGGUGUUUGUCAGUCCUGUUGUACUCUGUAUUAUUACUGUGAUGAUGUGUGUGGGUGGGGGUGGAGCUGUUACCUACAGACAGGCAGAGGUGGAAAGAGUACAGAAAUGUUAUACUCAAGUAAAAUCUUUACUUCGCCUAAAUCCUACUUAAGUAAAAGUAAAAGUACCAAUCUAAAAAUCUACUCAAGUAAAAGUAAAAAGUACUUCACUUAAAAAUGUAAUUUGAGUAAAAGUACUUAGUUGCUUUUAAUUAGCUUUCCUCUCGUUUCUUUUUCUUGAAUAUCGUCCUCCAUAACCUCUAUCUCUUGCUUGGCACCAGCCAUCAUCCAAUACAUUGAUCCAAGAUAGUAAAAUUGAGGAAACGCUGUGUGCCAUCCUGCAUAAUCUUUCAUUUCCGGCAGAUGGUGGCAUUAUUUUGCAUGGCAUUUUGUCUCUCAGUCCAUUUUUUUACUCAGUACUCAGGCCAGGUUCCAGUGUAAUUGAGUAAAAUACUUGGGUCAAAAUGUACUCAAGUAAAGUAAAAGUAUACAUUUUUAAAACUACUUUAAAAAGUACAAAGUACUCAUAAGCUACUCAAGUACAAUACUUGAGUAAAUGUAAUUAGUUACUUUCCACCCAUACAUCCAGGGAAUCUGAUGGGGGGAAUUAUAGGGCGGCAAAAGGGUCAAUUGUCCUGGGCCCGGGGUGAGAGGGAGGAGGCAUAUUUGGGUCCUCAGUCCUAUUGGUUUAGGUGGCCCUCCAGAUGACUUUAUCCUAGGUCUUGCUAAAGCUGUGAGUGGCCCUGCUUAUAUGUACAUACUGGCCCUGGCAGUGUGUCUUGUUUUGCUUUAGCUUUGGACAAGACCAAACAGUCACCAUAUUCACUAUGUUUUAGUUUUUUUGUGGCUUAUCAACUGAUGAAUUAUUGUGAUAUUAUAACCUACUGUGGCUGCAAAUAAAUGCAUUUGAACCCUUA